AUGCGGGUCAAGAUGGCUCAGAGGAUAAACACACUUGCUGCCAAGCCUGAUGAUCCGAAUUCGAUCCCCGGAAGCCACGCAAUGGAAGAAAAGAACAGGUUCUUGUCUGUCAGUGAGCCCAGCAGGUGCCGAGCAGCACAGCACACCUGCCACAGGAUGGAACCUCUGUGCAUCCCACACUUCUGCAAGGUACCCAGAGCCUAUAUUGGGCAGGGGUGCUCGAGUUCUUAUCUGGCACCAUGUGUGUCUGGUCACCAUGUGCAUGUGGUGCCUCCGCAGGCCAGGAGGGGGCGCAGAUCCCCUAAAACUGGAAUUAAAAGAUGGUUGUGAGCUACUCUGCAGGUGCUAGGAAUUAAACUGGUUCUCUAGAGAAAAGCAAGUAUUCUUUUGUUUUCUGAGACAGGGUUUCUCUGUAUAGCCCUGGCUGUCCUGGAACUCACUUUGUAGACCAGGCUGGCCUUGAACUCAGAAAUCUGCCUGCCUCUGCCCCCCAAGUGCUGGGAUUAAAGGUGUGCGCCACCACUGCCCGGCUAAAAGCAAGUUUUUUUUUUUUAAAGAUUUAUUUAUUUUUAUUAUAUGUAAGUACACUGUAGUUGUCUUCAGACACUCCAGAAAAGGGAGUCAGAUCUCAUUACGGAUGGUUGUGAGCCACCAUGUGGUUGCUGGGAUUUGAACUUCAGACCUUCAGAAGAGCAGUUGAGUGCUCUACCCACUGAGCCAUCUCACCAGCCCAAAAGCAAGUAUUCCUAAGGAGGGUCAUCUCUCCGGUGCCCAGGUGCACAGGGUGCCCAAGUCACCUGUCACCUCUUACCAUUUCUGUACGUUGAGACACUGAGCAGAGUGAACGUCCCACAAUGGCUGCACCUUCUCCACCUCGUGUCCAUUACACGCUUGCUGGGCCACUCACCAGGCAGAGAUGAGCGAUUCUUCCGUACACCACUGAGGAGGCCUCCCCUCUUCAUCUGCACCUGCCUGAGCCACUCAUUCUGUCCCCACAAGUGUACUCCUGCUGCCACUGGGCCACUGUCAGCCUGUGGAGACCUGAAGGA
rnacentral:lncRNA from 1 species